UACGGAAGGGGCAAGCGUUUUCGGAAUCAUUGGGCGUAAAGGGCGCGUAGGUGGUUCUGUAUGUCUACCGUGAAAGCGUACGGCUCAACCGUAUUUUGUCGGUAGAAACUGCAGGACUUGAGGCUGGGAGGGGCUGGUGGAAUUCCCUGUGUAGCGGUGAAAUGCGUAGAGAUGGGGGAGAACACUCGUGGCGAAGGCGGCCAGCUAGACCAGUUCUGACACUGAGGCGCGACAGCGUGGGGAGCAAACAGG
rnacentral:rRNA from 1 species